GGAUAAGCGUUAGGGAAACGUGGGUCUAAUACCGGAUAGGAGCCAUCUUUAGUGUGGUGGUUGGAAAGUUUUUUCGGUGUAGGAUGAGCUCGCGGCCUAUCAGCUUGUUGGCGGGGUAAUGGCCUACCAAGGCGGCGACGGGUAGCCGGCCUGAGAGGGUGACCGGCCACAUUGGGUCUGAGAUACGGCCCAG
rnacentral:rRNA from 1 species